UGAUUGAACGUGCUUGCACGGACUUGACGUUGGUUUACCAGCGAGUGGCGGACGGGUGAGUAACACGUAGGUAACCUGCCCCAAAGCGGGGGAUAACAUUUGGAAACAGAUGCUAAUACCGCAUAACAAUUUGAAUCGCAUGAUUCAAAUUUAAAAGAUGGCUUCGGCUAUCACUUUGGGAUGGACCUGCGGCGCAUUAGCUUGUUGGUAGGGUAGCGGCCUACCAAGGCUGUGAUGCGUAGCCGAGUUGAGAGACUGAUCGGCCACAAUGGAACUGAGACACGGUCCAUACUCCUACGGGAGGCAGCAGUAGGGAAUCUUCCACAAUGGGCGCAAGCCUGAUGGAGCAACACCGCGUGAGUGAAGAAGGGUUUCGGCUCGUAAAGCUCUGUUGUUAGAGAAGAACGUGCGUGAGAGCAACUGUUCACGCAGUGACGGUAUCUAACCAGAAAGUCACGGCUAACUACGUGCCAGCAGCCGCGGUAAUACGUAGGUGGCAAGCGUUAUCCGGAUUUAUUGGGCGUAAAGCGAGCGCAGGCGGUUUGAUAAGUCUGAUGUGAAAGCCUUUGGCUUAACCAAAGAAGUGCAUCGGAAACUGUCAGACUUGAGUGCAGAAGAGGACAGUGGAACUCCAUGUGUAGCGGUGGAAUGCGUAGAUAUAUGGAAGAACACCAGUGGCGCAGG
rnacentral:rRNA from 1 species